UAAAAAUUUAAUUCCCCUAAAAUGGUAAGUUUGUUUAUAGCAAUGAUAUAAUUGCUAUUUCUUUAUAAAAAAAAAUAAUGAAAUAUCAGAACACUCAGGAAUGGGGUGAAAGCUCCUUUCUUCUGCAGCAUAAACCGUCUAUCCCAAAAUAGAUAUGGUUAUAUUAUUGUGUGUCGCCAAAUGUAUUGCAAGUAAUAUGUUGUAUUUUGCUGUUGAAUCAGCUAUUUCAGAUGGUAAGAUGAAAGUUUAAACAAGAAUUUUGUUCAUCUUUUUCUUUACUAGAAGAGUUCAUCUGAUUAACAUUUUGUGUGACAGGUGUGGAAUGGGUUUAUAUGCACAGAACUACCGCAAGAUGGGUUUCGAGUUGGUUCAAAUGGCAAGCUCUCAAUUAUUAGAGGCGGGAACAUUAUUGCUUUGUUUCAAAUUAUGAAAACCAUUCGUUUCAAAAUUCAUAUCGCGUAUGUGACUUGUAGAAUGUUUACAGGCUGCUAUCCCAAGCGAGAAGGAAUGUUUUUGGCCAUUACUUUCAAUUCAAAUUGUGAUAUCUUAUUCAAUAGGCCUUGAGCAAUAUUCUUCUAUAUUUUAAUUUUUUUUUUUAUAUAAUUUCUGCAUAUUGAAAUGGAAAACAAGAAAAGAAAAAUAAAGAAGUUGUUAUGUAUA